UAGGGAAUCUUCGGCAAUGGACGAAAGUCUGACCGAGCAACGCCGCGUGAGGGAAGAAGGUUUUCGGAUCGUAAAACGCUGGGGUGAGAGAAGAACAAGGACGUUAGUAACUGAACGUCCCCUGACGGGAGCUAACCAGAAAGCCACGGCUAACGACGUGCCAGCAGCCGCGGUAAUACGUAGGUGGCAAGCGUUGUCCGGAUUUAUUGGGCGUAAAGCGAGCGCAGGCGGUUUCUUAAGUCUGAUGUGAAAGCCCCCGGCUCAACCGGGGAGGGUCAUUGGAAACUGGGAGACUUGAGUGCAGAAGAGGAGAGUGGAAUUCCAUGUGUAGCGGUGAAAUGCGUAGAUAUAUGGAGGAACACCAGUGGCGAAGGCGGCUCUCUGGUCUGUAACUGACGCUGAGGCUCGAAAGCGUGGGGAGCAAACAGG
rnacentral:rRNA from 1 species